UAAAGACAAGACCCUACAAAAGCCAAGCCUAUAGACUCAAAUGGACUUUGUUAAACGGCAGGAGAACAACCAAUAACCAGCCAGAAAGAGCGACAGACCUGGUGUCCUUAGGGGCGCACCUUAUGGACUUGCUAAAGACGGGGGAGCCUACCACGAUUACGCCCGGAUACGCAAGUUUAUACUUCUUAUUGCACAUUAUCAC